rnacentral:rRNA from 1 species
CACGUAGGGGCCAAGCGUUGUCCGGAUUUAUUGGGCGUAAAGAGCUCGUAGGCGGUUCAGUCAGUCGGGUGUGAAAUCUCCGGGCUCAACUCGGAGGGGCCACCCGAUACUGCUGUGACUCGAGUCCGGUAGGGGAGUGGGGAAUUCCUGGUGUAGCGGUGAAAUGCGCAGAUAUCAGGAGGAACACCGGUGGCGAAGGCGCCACUCUGGGCCGGUACUGACGCUGAGGAGCGAAAGCGUGGGUAGCAAACAGG